GUAAUUUUACUUUGAAAAAAGAGAUAUAUACUUACAUUGCAAGAUGAUCUAUUACUAUGAAUUCUACAAUAUAGACAAAUAGUUCUUAUAUAAAAAAAUGUAAAAAGAGAACGCGCGAACAAGUACGAAUAUUAUUCACCUGCAGAAAUGAAAUAUUCACGUUCAUUUUUUACGUGUGACGGUAUUAUCAUCGCUCGUAAUUACUGACACGUAGAACGUAUAUGUACGAUAGGAUAAGUUCGUUUCAGAAGUUACCUGAUAACGACCUAAACCAAUAAUUCGACAAAAAGCUAUAUAAUACUUCCACGUUAUAUUUCAUUUUAAAACUAUAAAAAGAAGUUAAUACAAGCAGUACGAAAUGAUAGCAUGUAUCGCUUUGAAGUCAUUUAUUGCCGAGUUAUGCAUAAAAUACACAUUGAUAUAACUGUGUUGCAUUAGUAAAACAUUAAUGCAUUAUCGUUGUUGGUUACCAAAUGUAAUAUCCAUUAAAAUAAUAUGUACCAUUAAAUUUUAUAAAAACAUCGUUCAUUGGCCUUGAUAAUUUAAAUGUACAUGAUGAGUUCCCUCUACUUUAUGAUAUUCAAAUCUUUUAGCACCUAUUUUUAUUUGAUCUAAAACUUUAUCAUAAGAUUCAGGAUAAUCAAGUUUCAAUCCAGGUAUAGCACGAAUAUUAAGAUAAGCACAUUUUAUCCGAGUUGCAUAUACAAGUACCAUAUCUAAAGAUAUUGUACCCAAUGCAGAAACCUAAAUUAAAUUAUAUAUAAAAUAUGUUAUAUUAUUAUAUUGUUGUUUUAUUAUUAUAAAAUCAAUAUCAAUUAAUAUUAAUCUGUAGUUGGUAUUCUUAGAUCACAAUUAAUGGAAUUAUAGAUUAUCAGUUGGUAUUCUAAUUGCAGAUUAUUAUGAUGAUACAAACUAUAGAUUAAUGUUAUAUAUUAUAUAAUAUAUAAUAUUAUAUAAAAUAAUAAAUUCAUAUGUAAUUAUUUAUAUAUCAUAAUGAAUAAAAUAUUACCUUUAAUCGCGGAUCACGUGAAAAAUAGUAUCGUUCGGAUUCAUUGGCAGGUCGCAAACCACGUUUCAUUAAUA